UAGAGUUUGAUCCUGGCUCAGAUUGAACGCUGGCGGCAGGCCUAACACAUGCAAGUCGAGCGGAUGAAGGGAGCUUGCUCCUGGAUUCAGCGGCGGACGGGUGAGUAAUGCCUAGGAAUCUGCCUGGUAGUGGGGGAUAACGUCCGGAAACGGGCGCUAAUACCGCAUACGUCCUGAGGGAGAAAGUGGGGGAUCUUCGGACCUCACGCUAUCAGAUGAGCCUAGGUCGGAUUAGCUAGUUGGUGGGGUAAAGGCCUACCAAGGCGACGAUCCGUAACUGGUCUGAGAGGAUGAUCAGUCACACUGGAACUGAGACACGGUCCAGACUCCUACGGGAGGCAGCAGUGGGGAAUAUUGGACAAUGGGCGAAAGCCUGAUCCAGCCAUGCCGCGUGUGUGAAGAAGGUCUUCGGAUUGUAAAGCACUUUAAGUUGGGAGGAAGGGCAGUAAGUUAAUACCUUGCUGUUUUGACGUUACCAACAGAAUAAGCACCGGCUAACUUCGUGCCAGCAGCCGCGGUAAUAC
rnacentral:rRNA from 1 species